rnacentral:rRNA from 1 species
AUUGAACGCUGGCGGAAUGCUUUACACAUGCAAGUCGAACGGCAGCACGGGGGCAACCCUGGUGGCGAGUGGCGAACGGGUGAGUAAUACAUCGGAACGUGCCCGGUCGUGGGGGAUAACGUAGCGGAAGUUACGCUAAUACCGCAUACGAUCUGAGGAUGAAAGCGGGGGACCUUCGGGCCUCGCGCGAUCGGAGCGGCCGAUGUCAGAUUAGGUAGUUGGUGGGGUAAAGGCCUACCAAGCCGACGAUCUGUAGCUGGUCUGAGAGGACGACCAGCCACACUGGGACUGAGACACGGCCCAGACUCCUACGGGAGGCAGCAGUGGGGAAUUUUGGACAAUGGGCGCAAGCCUGAUCCAGCCAUUCCGCGUGCAGGACGAAGGCCUUCGGGUUGUAAACUGCUUUUGUAUGGAACGAAAAGGCUCUGGCUAAUACCUGGGGCUCAUGACGGUACCGUAAGAAUAAGCACCGGCUAACUACGUG